UGCCAGCCGCCGCGGUAAUACGGAGGGGGCUAGCGUUGUUCGGAAUUACUGGGCGUAAAGCGCGUGUAGGCUGAUCAGUCAGUCAGGGGUGAAAUCCCGGGGCUCAACCCCGGAACUGCCUUUGAUACUGCUGAUCUGGAGUCCGGUAGAGGUGAGUGGAAUUCCGAGUGUAGAGGUGAAAUUCGUAGAUAUUCGGAGGAACACCAGUGGCGAAGGCGGCUCACUGGACCGGUACUGACGCUGAGACGCGAAAGUGUGGGGAGCAAACAGGAUUAGAUA
rnacentral:rRNA from 1 species